AUUCCCCUAGUAACGGCGAGUGAAGCGGGAAGAGCUCAAAUUUAAAAUCUGGCAGUGUAUUCUGUCCGAGUUGUAGUCUAGAGAAGCAUCAUCCGUGCUGGACCAUGUACAAGUCUCUUGGAACAGAGCGUCAUAGAGGGUGAGAAUCCCGUCCUUGACAUGGACUCCCAGCGCUUUGUGUUGUGCUCUCAACGAGUCGAGUUGUUUGGGAAUGCAGCUCAAAAUGGGUGGUAAAUUCCAUCUAAAGCUAAAUAUUGGCGAGAGACCGAUAGCGAACAAGUACCGUGAGGGAAAGAUGAAAAGCACUUUGGAGAGAGAGUUAAACAGUACGUGAAAUUGUUGAAAUGGAAACGCUUGAAGUCAGUCGCGUUCUCUGGGAUUCAGCCUUGCUUAUGCUUGGUGCAUUUCCUAGUCUACGGGCCAGCAUGGAUUUUGACCGUUGGAAAAGGGCUGGAGGAAUGUGGCACCUUCGGGUGUGUUAUAGCCUCUUGUCGCAUGCAUCGGUUGGGAUCGAGGACCUCAGUGCACGCUUCGGUUGUGCUUUGAUGCUGGCGUAAUGGCUUUAAACGACCCGUCUUGAAACACGGACCAAGGAGUCUAACAUGUCUGCGAGUGUUUGGGUGAAAAACUCGGACGCAUAAUGAAAGUGAUAGUUGGGAACCUCUCACGAGGGGCACCGACGCCCGGACCAGACCUUCUGUGACGGAUCCGAGGUAGAGCAUAUAUGUUGGGACCCGAAAGAUGGUGAACUAUGCCUGCAUAGGGUGAAGCCAGAGGAAACUCUGGUGGAGGCUCGUAGCGAUUCUGACGUGCAAAUCGAUCGUCAAAUGUGGGUAUAGGGGCGAAAGACUAAUCGAACCAUCUAGUAGCUGGUCCCUGCCGA
rnacentral:rRNA from 1 species